UGGCUCAGAACGAACGCUGGCGGCAUGCCUAACACAUGCAAGUCGAACGAGAAAACACCUUCGGGUGUGAGUAGAGUGGCGCACGGGUGAGUAACACGUAGAUAAUCUGCCCUCGAGCCUGGGAUAACUCUUCGAAAGAAGGGCUAAUACCGGAGAGACCACGAUCACAUCAGUGAUUGAGGUUAAAGGUAGGGACCUUCGGGCCUGCCAUUUGAGGAUGAGUCUGCGGCCUAUUAGCUUGUUGGUGAGGUAAAAGCUCACCAAGGCGAUGAUGGGUAUCUGGUCUAAGAGGAUGAUCAGACACACUGGAACUGAGACACGGUCCAGACUCCUACGGGAGGCAGCAGUGGGGAAUUUUGCACAAUGGGCGAAAGCCUGAUGCAGCAAUGCCGCGUGAGUGAAGAAGGCUUUCGGGUUGUAAAUCUCUGUCGGUAGGGAAAAAUGGCUUUAUAACUAAUAUUUAUAGAGUUUGAUGGUACCUGCAAAGGAAGGGGCGGCUAACUCUGUGCCAGCAGCCGCGGUAAUACAGAGGCCCCAAGCGUUGUUCGGAAUUACUGGGCGUAAAGAGAAUGUAGGUGGUGAUACAAGUCAGAUGUGAAAGCCCUGGGCUCAACCCAGGAUGUGCAUUUGAUACUGUUUCGCUGGAGUGCGAGAGAGGAACUUGGAAUUCCCGGUGUAGGAGUGAAAUCCGUAGAGAUCGGGAGGAAUACCAAUGGCGAAGGCAGAGUUCUGGCUCGCAACUGACACUGAGAUUCGAAAGCGUGGGGAGCAUACAGGAUUAGAUACCCUGGUAGUCCACGCCGUAAACGAUGAGUGCUUGUUGUUGGAAGUGUUAACCCUUUCAGUAACGGAGCUAACGCGUUAAGCACUCCGCCUGGGGAGUACGGUCGCAAGAUUAAAACUCAAAGAAAUUGACGGGGACCCGCACAAGGAGUAGAGCAUGUGGUUUAAUUCGACCACGCGAAGAACCUUAUCCUGGUCUUGACAUCCACUAGAUCGGUCUGUGAGAGCAGCCUUUUUCUUCGGAAACUGGUGGACAGGUGCUGCAUGGCUGUCGUCAGCUCGUGUCGUGAGAUGUUGGGUUAAGUCCCGCAACGAGCGCAACCCACGUCCCUUGUUGCCAUCAUUAAGUUGGGCACUCUAGGGAGACCGCCGGCGUUAAGCCGGAGGAAGGUGUGGAUGACGUCAAGUCCUCAUGGCCCUUAUGACCAGGGCUACACACGUGCUACAAUGCAAGGUACAAAGGGUCGCGAAGUGGUAACACGGAGCCAAUCCCAAAAAGCUUUGCUCAGUUCGGAUUGAGGUCUGCAACUCGACCUCAUGAAGCUGGAAUUCCUAGUAAUCGCAGAUGAGAAUGCUGUGGUGAAUACGUUCUCGGGUCUUGUACACACCGCCCGUCACACCACGAAAGUCCGUUGCACCAGAAGUCGCUGUGCUAAC
rnacentral:rRNA from 1 species